AGAGCGAACGCUGGCGGCAGGCCUAACACAUGCAAGUCGAGCGCCCGUAGCAAUACGGGAGCGGCAGACGGGAUAGUAACACGUGGGAACGCGCCCUUCGGUUCGGAAUAACUCAGGGAAACUUGAGCUAAUACCGAAUACGCCCUUACGGGGAAAGAUUUAUUGCCGAAGGAACGGCCCGCGUCCGAUUAGCUAGUUGGUGAGGUAAUGGCUCACCAAGGCUACGAUCGGUAGCUGGUCUGAGAGGAUGACCAGCAUCACUGGGACUGAGACACGGCCCAGACUCCUACGGGAGGCAGCAGUGGGGAAUAUUGGACAAUGGGCGCAAGCCUGAUCCAGCCAUGCCGCGUGGAUGAUGAAGGCCUUAGGGUUGUAAGUCUUUUAACGGGAGAUAAUGACGGUACCCGUAGAAUAAGCCCGGCUACUUCGUGCCAGCAGCCGC
rnacentral:rRNA from 1 species